rnacentral:piRNA from 1 species
UUAUAUGAGAGACUACCACGAUUAUCCUU